GAAUAUUGUUAGAGAUAAAUUAGAGAUAACGUUUAUACGGCGGCCGGUGUUUUACAAUGAGCAAAUCGGAGCCGACGAGGAUCAGGCGAGAAGAUGAUGGUGUUGCUUCCGAGUGAAGAUGGUUAGGAGUUCCAUAUUUCCAUCUCUACUGAUCUAUCAAGUCGCCAAAACAUCAUCACAUUCAAGAUAUGGUUACCGGAAAUGACAAACCAAGACUAUAUCAUCAAAAACUCACACGAGUCACAAGGAUAAAGGUGAUGUGGCUAAUACUUUUCUAUGUAAAAUCCUUGAACAGAUUGAAAAUUUCGCAUCCACCAAUUUCCAAAAAACUCGAUAUGAUAGUCACUUGCUACAACACUAAUUACAUUCUAAUCAAAAUUUCGAGGAUGAGGGAAUAUCUGAAGGUGAACAAAAGACGCGGCCGAGGUAAUGACCUGGUAUUCUUGAGAGUAUCUCGAUGAUGACAUCGGUGGGAAGCGUCUCUAUUACAUAAGUUGAGUUCGAUGAUUUUGUGUAGAGUCGGAUGCGUUUUUGGCGUUUUUACUCGACAAAUUUUGUGGUACUCGAUGAAUACAAAUUAGCUUGGGGAUCGCGUGAUACGACUUUAUGGGAGGAAACUAG